AGUGAACGCUGGCGGUAGGCCUAACACAUGCAAGUCGAACGGCAGCACAGGAGAGCUUGCUCUCUGGGUGGCGAGUGGCGGACGGGUGAGGAAUACAUCGGAAUCUACUUUUUCGUGGGGGAUAACGUAGGGAAACUUACGCUAAUACCGCAUACGACCUACGGGUGAAAGCAGGGGAUCUUCGGACCUUGCGCGAUUGAAUGAGCCGAUGUCGGAUUAGCUAGUUGGGGGGGUAAAGGCCCACCAAGGCGACGAUCCGUAGCUGGUCUGAGAGGAUGAUCAGCCACACUGGAACUGAGACACGGUCCAGACUCCUACGGGAGGCAGCAGUGGGGAAUAUUGGACAAUGGGCGCAAGCCUGAUCCAGCCAUACCGCGUGGGUGAAGAAGGCCUUCGGGUUGUAAAGCCCUUUUGUUGGGAAAGAAAUCCAGCUGGCUAAUACCCGGUUGGGAUGACGGUACCCAAAGAAUAAGCACCGGCUAACUCCGUGCCAGCCGCCGCGGUAA
rnacentral:rRNA from 1 species